rnacentral:antisense_RNA from 1 species
AGAAGCUGCGAAGAUGGCGGAGUAAGGCCUGCCGCUGUAAACUGGCCUCUGGGCCGGGGGCGCACAGCCCCCGGGAGGCCGAGUGCAUCUGUUGGACCGUGCUAGGAGAAGAAAAAAAAGAGAUCGGCCAGAGGAAAGGAACUAACCGAACAUUCUUCCUCCCUACCUUACAGAGGGGAGUGGUCAUCUAUACUAAAGCAAAGUGUCAUGCGCGUCUGUGCGAAGAGACCACCAAACAGGCUUUGUGUUCCUUAUCACAGGAAGAAAAUUUUCCUUGACCUUUAGGUGCUUUUAUAUUCAUCUCAAAAACAAAAUUCUGAACUCAGGACUUGGCAAGAGGUGUAAGCGAAGUUGCAGUGCUACCUUAUUUUUCAUUUUUAUUUUUUGGAGACAGAGUCUCACUCUGUUGCCCAGGCUGAGUGCAGUGGUGCAGUCAUGGCUCACUGCAACCUCAACCUCCAGAGCUCAAGCGAUCUUCCUGCUUCAGCCUCCUCCAAAGUAGCUGGGACCACAAAAGGGCACCACCACGCCCUGCUAAUUUUUUAUUUUUUGUAGAGUGGGGUCUUGCUGUGUUGCCCAGGCUGGUCUCCAAUUCCUGGGCUCCAGGGAUCCCCCUGCCUCAGCCUCCCCAAAGUGCUGGGAUUACAGGUGUGAGCUGCUGCACCUGGCUUAGUGCUACUUUAAAACACAAAUGUGGCCGGGCCCAGUGGCUCAUGCCUGUAAUCCCAAUAGUUUGGGAGGCUGAAGCGAGUGGAUCUCUUGAGGUUAGGAGUUUGAACCCAGCCUGGCCAACAUGGUGAAACCCCGUUUCUACUAAAAAUAC